rnacentral:rRNA from 1 species
GAUCCUGGCUCAGAUUGAACGCUGGCGGCAGGCUUAAUACAUGCAAGUCGAACGGUAACGGCAGGAAGCUUGCUUCCUGGCUGACGAGUGGCGGACGGGUGAGUAAUACCUGGGGAGCUGCCUGAAUGAGGGGGGACAACACCUGGAAACGGGUGCUAAUACCGCGUAAGCCCUGAGGGGGAAAGGCCGGGCAACCGGUCGCAUUCAGAUGCGCCCAGGUGGGAUUAGCUAGUUGGUGGGGUAACGGCCUACCAAGGCGACGAUCUCUAGCUGGUCUGAGAGGAUGAUCAGCCACACUGGAACUGAGACACGGUCCAGACUCCUACGGGAGGCAGCAGUAGGGAAUAUUGCACAAUGGGGGGAACCCUGAUGCAGCCAUGCCGCGUGUGUGAAGAAGGCCCUUUGGGUUGUAAAGCACUUUCAGUAUGGAGGAAGUGAGCUGAGUUAAUAGCUUAGUUCAUUGACGUUACAUACAGAAGAAGCACCGGCUAACUCCGUGCCAGCCGCCGC